CUUCCUGCCAAAUGUGGACUCCCCUAAUGAGCAACUUGGCUCUGAAGCUCCCAUCAGCCUGGGUGAGACUGUCUCCAAGCUGUACUGCAGUCUGAGGCUCUUCCUACCAAAUUCACUUUGCUGUUCCUUUAUUCCCAACUUUGGGAGGCUUUUACCAGCUCCUUCUCCUUUUUAUGUUUACCUUCACCGACCUUUCCCCUAAGAAAUACUGUCUGAAGUACUUUCUUCUUGGCAUAUUCUUCUCAAAGGACUCAAGUGUGACUAACCCUUUAGAGUACAGAAUGAAGAUCCAAGCUACAUGCUGAAAACGAGACAUUACUAUGGAGAAUGGAACUUUC
rnacentral:lncRNA from 1 species